UUUUUUGGGGGGGGGGGGCGCUGGCUCAUUUGAAAAUUUUCAGCUUAGCAACUUAGGUCCGAAUCCCUACUAAAAAAUGAUCUAGAGAUAUUCCUGGAUGUAUACUGCACUUGGCCCGUUUGCGUUUUACACCCUGGCCUGGACAUUUUCCCGGUAAAUAGCAAUGAAACUGCUUGAAUGAGUCUAGUCUACGCUCCUCGAUCGGGCGCGCCAGUUCCAAAUCGAAUCGUACAUGCGAUAUGCACAGUACAGACGUACGUCGAUGCAGCAUUUAUACACACCGUACGCAGCUGCAAUACUGAAGAUUAAGGGAGAAGAUAUAGGAUUUCAAGUUCAGAACAACAAGUUAAGAAGCUUGCUGCACGAUGGAAUUCAUCGAGGAUGAUGACGGAGUGGCAAUGCAGACGCCUUUGCGGGCAAUUCUACCUAGAUCUACCCAUAAUGAAGAUCAUGAAUACCAUUACCAUGUAAAUAACUUUGAGAGCCAUGAUGAAUCUGGAUUCACAGCAUCACUGGUGAUAAAUGUCAAAGCAGAAGAUGAUGCAAAAAAAUGGAUGAGCGAGUUUGCAGAGUCUUCUCGCACCACAUGGAGGGUAAUGAGAACCUGCCCGACAGCGAAGAAAUAUGUGCUCUUUAAGAAGAUCUAUCGAUGUCAUCAUGGGCAGCAAAGACGGGCUAAGGAAGGGACAUCUCGUCACAGCAAGGACACUAGGUGCUGCGCUAAACUUACUCUCACUGUAAGGAGAACAGUGACACAAUCCGGGAGGAAGAGCAAGUAUGUGAAUAUAGUAGCGAUAAAUUGUCAAUCACCUAUUUAGAGGAAACCAAAACCCAAGGAGAGAAUCAAUCUCAUAUGAAAGAGUAAAAUGAGAGGAGCAAUUUAAAGAAAGUUUCAUCAAAAACGGUUAUAAAAUAAGAGAGUUAUGGAAGUUCGAAAAGUCUCGUUUUACUUUCUAUGGGGAUCCUCAAAUUGGCAACGCUGCUUCAAAAUGGCUGAUUUUGUGGACAACUCUCCAUUCACUUUGUACAAAAGGGAAGAAAAGCUACUGUUGUGGGAAAGGUGAAAAACAAUUAUUGUGAGCUUUCAAAUUCUUUUCAUGUUAUUUAGGAAGAUUAGUAAAAAGAUCCACUACAAAAGAUUGUUGUUCAAAUGACCUCACAUUCAUAAUAAGAGAAAAGCAGCUCAAAUGUUCAGACCGAACAUUUGUGUGUAGCCACAUACAUGCAUAUCUGUGUGCAGUGCAUGUGACUCUCCUAGCAGAAUCAAGUUGAUUUCUUAUCAUUUUGGUGAUACCAAAAGCAUACACCAAUUCUUAGAUGCAUUAUAAUAAACCUUUCCCAAUCACUUUGAGACAGUUCUUCCACAUUUCAAUCUCAAGACCAGAACUAAACUUUAUCUAAAGGAGAACAUGCAUUUAAGUUUCAUAGGAUUUUAUAUUCUGAUAUUUUAAUAUAAAAAGGCUGGUCAAUCAUGUUUUUAUUAUUUUAAAUAACCAUUUAUUACCUUAGGUAGUGCAUCCAAUGCGUAAAUCAAAUCGAACAGGUACAUGUAGCUCUGGAUAAAUGAAUGUUUUCAAUAUUUGAAAUGGGAUGAAUGAAGGCCGGAGAGCCAAAAUUCUCAUUAAUUUUGGGAGAUAACUAGAUCACAUGUCGACGGUCAGAAAGUUGUUGAGUAACAUAUACAUGUAGGGCCAUUAUUAUUUUGGUACAUGCUUAUUGGAUCAUAAUGCUCUGGUUAAAUCAACAAUUAAAAUAAGGAAGCUAGAGAGAAUCUUCUUGAUCCCAAAAUUUAAGACAAACGUAAAUAAAAAAAUAAUACAAGAAAAUUUCCAAAAUAUUAUUAUAUUGUUCCAGAUUUUCUCAUGUGUUUUAUUGCAUGCUACAGUCCACUCCCGUUGUAGUGAGGUGCUCGGGACCAAACCAAUUACCUCGUUAUAAUGAAAUCUCAUUAUAUCAAAGAUACUGACCACAUAGGUUUAUACAUGAAUAUUUUAAAAUUGGGCCCUGGAGAAUUGCCUCGUUAUAACGAAAUCUCGUUGUAUCCGUGCUCGUUAUAUCGGGAGUGGACUGUUUGAUCAUGGACGUUGAAUUCAUAAUUUGUUGAUCAUCUUCAUUAUAAUGACCCAUUAGGAUUUGUCCAUCUGUCAGUCAUCGUGAUAUCUCAACAACCACUUGAGACAUGAACUUCAACCUUGAUUAUAGUAUGUAUCACCAUUAGGAAGACGAUCUGAUUAGAUUUUGGAGUACGUAAGUCAAAGGUCAAGGGUCACAGAGGUCAUUAUCUGGUGUUUUGUGUCAUCAACAUAUUAAGAUGUUGAGUGUGGCAGGGUGAAUAGUUAAACAUAGGCAGAGGCAUAUUGGAAUGAAGUCGCACACAUCAAGUUUCUAACAUGUUAGUGUUACUUACCAGCAUGAAGUCUUGUCCAUUUACAGAUUGUUAUGAGCCUGCAGAAUGAUUGAAGGUGCCUGACAAGUAUUCGGAAAUGUGCAUGAUAUAUUGUCACUGUUUUUCAUUCAUGUGCAUGACCUAACUCUUUUCACAUUUUUUGUCUUUCAUCCGUAUUACAACUAAACCAUUAUUUACGAGGGAUCGCUUGGAUAACAUCUGAGCACAUUUCACUCCACAAUCUGAUGACCUUGUGGAAAGAGUCCACAACAUGUUCUUAGAGAUGGAGGAGAAGCUUAAGCAGGACCCUGCCACAUUUGCAGAGCCCUUUAAGGCUAUGCUACAGUCUCAUAGGAGGCUUAAGACUGAUAGCAGUCUCACAUCUGCUAUCAGAAUGUAUGGGAGAUACAGUGGCGUCAACCUUGCCAGGCGCAAGGUUAAGCCCAAGGUAUGUAUCCUUAAGACUUCUGGACCUAGCAUUGGCGUGCAGCCAACAGCCAUUGCUCGCAGAAGAGUGAAGAUUGGGGGGAGGAGAAACUUGACAUCGGGACGUCCGACCAAGCAGGCAACAGUUGAAGAACAUGGCUAUGCCAAAGGUGGUCAGUCAUCACAGUCAUCACAGUCAUCGCAGCUUCCACGUAAAAAACGUGCAGCUGCACCACAUAAUCUGAACCAUGCGGUCACAAUGUGCCAAUCUCUAGGCAAAACCCAUAGUAAAACAUAGUUUUUGUCUUGCCUGCGUACAUGUAUAUAGACGUCACUCUUUCCGACGUCAUUGUCGGCAUCAACAAUUAUGUUGUACUCACAAUAAAUUUCCAUAGCCUUUAGGUAGUAUCACCAAAUUCACACCAGUGGUACUUGCAUCUCUUGAAGACUCGGGUCGAGUUCGAAUAUGGGUCAUAUUCGACAAAGUUCAAAGGUCAAAAAGUCAAUGAACUUUAUAUGAAAAGCAUUGUACACACAAACUUAUCCAUAGCUUUGAGGGAGUAUUGCCAAAUUUACACCAGUGGAAACCUUUAAUAAUGAUGAGGUUCCUGGGACCUGAAAAUUUGGGAUAAAGGAAAUAUUAUUAUAUGUUAUGUUGUUAUAUAUAUUAGGUCUAUUAUUUAGAUUUAGGGUUUUAGAGGCAACGAUAUUUUUGGAGGUCUGUCACGGUCGUCUCAGAGAGCUAAAAUAUUAAAUCUCAUUUCUUAACGUCUAAGCCUAUGGAGAAUUCAUAAUAACAUAAAAUAUUGGACGCAAUGAACAUUCUGCCACGCCCACAAGAUUAUGAUUGGUCAAUACAUGAUUGUGUGCAUUCAGCUAACGUGAAGUAACAAUAAAACCUAUGUUGCUCUUUUUUAUUUUUCCUCUUAAGCCACGCCAUUAUUAGUGAUUGUGCGCAUGCAGCUAUUAAACGUGACGUCACCAUAUGAAAUUGCACCAUCCAAGUAACUACUUCGUUUUCAAUAAUUGUAACGUCACAAUAACUUCAAGUAACAACUUGGAUUGGGAUAUGUAAAUUCUAGAUGUUCGACUUUGUACAGGUAAAUGAUUAUAUUAGUGUUACGGUAGGCCUACUGUUUUCUUGAAAUUCAAACAUUUUUAACUUUUCAUGUUAGUUGUGCACCAGCACCACAUAAAUGCUUGGGAAAUUUCAUAUUUGCACUCGUUUCAAGCUUCAAUUGCCAAGAUGCAGUUUACAAGUACAUGUACUAGUAUAUUAUAAAAAAUGGUGAAUAAAUCACAAUAUCUCUGUGGAGUAUCUAAAUAAUAAUUAUAAUAUUGGAUGAUCAAUUUUCGCGAAAUACGUGAAAUAUUGUUACUCGCUGAAGAAAAAUAUUUUCACGUAUCAUCCAUUAUUAUGUGUAUUCAGUUCGUUAUCUCCAAAGUAAAGUGCGGUGCACGCCUCUGCGCCCAUGAAUCCGCCUAUGUUCAGAUCUCUUUUUAUCUACAUGUGCAUGUAUUUUCAAAUAAAAAUUUCUUAUAGUCAUUUCUUGCAUCUAAAUCUUAACACACUGUCAAAUUAUCUGUUCAAAUUUCUACUAUUGUUUGCUUUCACUUUUACUACAUAUUUCUUCUUUAUAUAACUAUUUAUGCAUACACAUACUCCUGUAUCUUUUGUAUUACUUCUCUGACAUUGAAGGAUUAGAUUACCUUCACGAAAAAAAAAAGUAUAUGAAUGUAAAGCAGUAAAUAAAGUGCAAAUGAAUUCAUGUAAAA